rnacentral:lncRNA from 1 species
AUGAAUGACUGUUUUUUGUGGCAGACAAAAAAGGAAAUUUUGAGGUUUUUUGGAGAGAAUCUGUGUGGAACAAACUGGCAUCAUUCAUUCUUCAGAAAUACUUACAGUAACAUAAAUGUUCUAUUCCUGGCCUCCUCCUCGUCCUCCCCCUCGUCCACCUCGUCCUCUUUGUCCUCCUCCCCCUCUUCCUCCUCCUCCUCCUCCUUGUCCUCCUCCUCCUCCUCCUCCUCCUCCUCCUCCUCCUCGUCCACCUCGUCCUCUUUGUCCUCCUCCCCCUCUUCCUCCUCCUCCUCGUCCUCCUCCUCCUCGUUCCUCCUCCUCCUCCUCCUCCUCCUCCUCCUCCUCGUCCUCCUCCUCCUCAUCCUCUGGCCCCUCCUCCUCGUCGACCUCGUCCUCCUCCCCCUCUUCCUCCUCCUCCUCGUCCUCCUCCUCAUCCUCUUCCUCCUCCGCCACCUCAUCCUCUUCCUCCUCCUCCUCCUCGUCCUCCUCCUCCUCAUCCUCUGGCCCCUCCUCCUAAUCCACCUCGUCCUCCUCCCCCUCUUCCUCCUCCUCCUCGUCCUCAUCCUCCUCCUCAUCCUCUUCCUCCUCCGCCUCCUCAUCCUCUUCCUCCUCCUCCUCCUCCUCCUCAUCCUCUGGCCCCUCCUCCUCGUCCUCCUCCCCCUCUUCCUCCUCCUCCUCGUCCUCCUCCUCCUCCUCCUCAUCCUCUGGCCCCUCCUCCUCGUCCUCCUCCUCCUCCCCCUCUUCCUCCUCCUCCUCCCCCUCUUCCUCCUCCUCCUCGUCCACCUCGUCCUCUUCAUCCUCCUCCCCCUCUUCCUCCUCCUCCUCGUCCUCCUCCUCAUCCUCUUCCUCCUCCUCCUCAUCCUCUUCCUCCUCCUCGUCCACCUCGUCCUCUUUGUCCUCCUCCCCCUCUUCCUCCUCCUCCUCCUCCUUGUCCUCCUCCUCCUCCUCCUCAUCCUCCUCCUCCUCCUCGUCCACCUCGUCCUCUUUGUCCUCCUCCCCCUCUUCCUCCUCCUCCUCGUCCUCCUCCUCCUCGUCCUCCUCCUCCUCCUCCUCCUCCUCCUCCUCCUCGUCCUCCUCCUCCUCAUCCUCUGGCCCCUCCUCCUCGUCCACCUCGUCCUCCUCCCCCUCUUCCUCCUCCUCCUCGUCCUCCUCCUCAUCCUCUUCCUCCUCCGCCACCUCAUCCUCUUCCUCCUCCUCCUCCUCGUCCUCCUCCUCCUCAUCCUCUGGCCCCUCCUCCUAAUCCACCUCGUCCUCCUCCCCCUCUUCCUCCUCCUCCUCGUCCUCGUCCUCCUCCUCAUCCUCUUCCUCCUCCGCCUCCUCAUCCUCUUCCUCCUCCUCCUCCUCCUCCUCAUCCUCUGGCCCCUCCUCCUCGUCCUCCUCCCCCUCUUCCUCCUCCUCCUCGUCCUCCUCCUCCUCCUCCUCAUCCUCUGGCCCCUCCUCCUCGUCCACCUCCUCCUCCACCUCGUCUUCUUCUUCCUCCCCCUCCUCCUCCCCCUCUGA